CGGGAUAACAGAGGGAAACUUCUGAUAAUACUGGAUAAGUUAGUAUAUCGCAUGAUAUACAAAUGAAAGCUACGGCACUAAAGGAGAGCUUUGCGUCCUAUUAGCUAGUUGGUAAGGUAAGAGCUUACCAAGGCGAUGAUAGGUAGCCGGCCUGAGAGGGUGGACGGCCACAAGGGGACUGAGAUACGGCCCUUACUCCUACGGGAGGCAGCAGGC
rnacentral:rRNA from 1 species